UACGUAGGGGGCAAGCGUUGUCCGGAAUCAUUGGGCGUAAAGAGCGUGUAGGCGGCCCGAUAAGUCCGCUGUGAAAGUCCAGGGCUCAACCCUGGGAUGCCGGUGGAUACUGUCGGGCUCGAGUCCGGAAGAGGCGAGUGGAAUUCCUGGUGUAGCGGUGAAAUGCGCAGAUAUCAGGAGGAACACCAAUGGCGAAGGCAGCACUCUGGGACGUGACUGACGCUGAGACGCGAAAGCGUGGGGAGCAAACAGG
rnacentral:rRNA from 1 species